UGGGUAUGUUAUUAUAGGCUACGUAAUAUAUUAAGCUUCAACCACAAACGCUUCGCAUGACGUUUUAAAUGUUCUUUAUAAAACUAAACUGCCUUUAUCGAUAAACUUUGAGUUUUCAAUAAAAUGAUUUCAAAUUCUGGCAUGCAAAUAACUUUGCUUUAUUAUUUAAAAAAUUUAAUAUAAUAAAAAAAGGGUAAUCAAUAAAGAUACACUGAAAUUAUAUGCCAUCUUUUUUCAUUUAAAAUAUACAUAACGAUAAGCUUUUAAAGAAAUGGGUACUUUACAGUUUACCGUACCCGUGUACCGCAAGUAUUUGAUGGCGUGUGUUCUGAUGGCGGGUUUUCCCGUUCUUUUAUCGCUUGUUUUGAAGGCGUAUGUGUUCAGUGAUUUACUCCGAUACGGUAAAGUGUAAAAUUUCCGAAGCAAUUAUUUUCAGCUUGCCCGGUGUGGAUGCACACUCAGAGUAACAUCACAAACAUCAUACGAAGCAAUUAUAAAGCAAACAAUACGUAUCCCAAAGGUCGCGGGUUCGAUUCCCACCGUGGCCAAGCAAUUAACUUUUCAGCUUGCCCGGUGUGGAUGCACACUCAGAGUAACAUCACAAACAU